AUUGAACGCUGGCGGCAUGCCUUACACAUGCAAGUCGAACGGCAGCACGGGGCAACCUGGUGGCGAGUGGCGAACGGGUGAGUAAUGCAUCGGAACGUGCCAUUGAGUGGGGGAUAACGUAGCGAAAGUUGCGCUAAUACCGCAUAUUCUGUGAGCAGGAAAGCAGGGGACCGCAAGGCCUUGCGCUCUUUGAGCGGCCGAUGUCAGAUUAGCUAGUUGGUGAGGUAACGGCUUACCAAGGCGACGAUCUGUAGCGGGUCUGAGAGGAUGAUCCGCCACACUGGAACUGAGACACGGUCCAGACUCCUACGGGAGGCAGCAGUGGGGAAUUUUGGACAAUGGGCGCAAGCCUGAUCCAGCCAUGCCGCGUGAGUGAAGAAGGCCUCGGUUGUAAGACGUCUUUCGUCCGGGACGGAAAGUAC
rnacentral:rRNA from 1 species